AUACCCUGUACUAACUGGUCUAGCUCAAAUGACAGGUGCCAUUCAGAGGAUGAUGGGGGCCUCUGAGGACAGGGGGAUCAAGGAGGACGUCAUGGGAGAGCUGCGGGCCAGGGAAGAUGUCACUGGCAUGGCAUGAGUUGUGGAAAAUAAGAAAAUCAGCUGACCAAGGUCUUGGGAAAUAAGAUGGGACAGACCAAAUUUAUCUUGAGCUCGUAAAGAAAAGAAAGAUCUGAUGAAAACCGUAUACCUGGUUUUAUUUACAUUAAUGAAGCUAUGUGACAUAAAGGCCACAAUGAUUUCUCUCCUUUUCUUUUGUGGAAAAAUUCUUUUUUGUUUUUUUGAGGAAGAUCAGCACUGAGCUAACUGCUGCCAAUCCUCCCCUCCCCGCCAAGGAAGACCAGCCCCGAGCCAACAUCCAUGCCCAUCUUCCUCCACUUUACAUGCGGGACACCUACCACAGCAUGGCGUGCCAAGUGGUGCCAUGUCCGCACCCGGGGUCUGAACCAGCGAACCCCAGGCCGCCAGGGCGGAACGUGCGCGCUUAACCCCUGCGUCACCAGGCCGGCCCUGUGGAAAAAUUCUUGAGAAUGGAAUUUUGAAGUCAGGAAGACUGAAUGAAGUCCUUGUGUCUAUCCAUCAAGAAAGUAUAUCCAAAGAAAACGGAGGGUUUUAUGUAUAUGCGGAUGAAGAAAGCUCAAUUUGAAAAAGUUAGGAUACUUUGAAAAUGUGGAUUUGUCAUUCAUAAAAACGUUUUCUUGAAGCGUUCUUGAAGUUCCUUACCAGGUGCCAAAGGAAAGAAGCCUCGCAGGACUGGAGACAGUUUACCUGAAGCCACAUGCACUGGGAAUGCGGAGCACACUGGAAGUGGCUCUCUAGUCAAACGAGGUCCUUCCAUGAAGAGUAGUUGGCAUGUUUUGAAGCAGGUUAUGGAGGAAUUGGCAGCCUUGCCAUUCACUCAGCAAGUCACUCGAUGAAACUACAGACAUCUUUCAAUGUAUCCCCUUCCUUAUUUUGUUCAUGACAACCCUGCUAACAUGAACGAGGAAGA
rnacentral:lncRNA from 1 species